rnacentral:rRNA from 1 species
GUGGGGAAUAUUGUGCAAUGGGCGAAAGCCUGACCCAGCAACGCCGCGUGAAGGAAGAAGGUCUUCGGAUCGUAAACUUCUAUCCUUGGUGAAGAUAAUGACGGUAGCCGAGAAGGAAGCCCCGGCUAACUACGUGCCAGCAGCCGCGGUAAUACGUAGGGGGCAAGCGUUGUCCGGAAUGAUUGGGCGUAAAGGGCGCGUAGGCGGCCUGGUAAGUCUGGAGUGAAAGUCCUGCUUUUAAGGUGGGAAUUGCUUUGGAUACUGUCGGGCUUGAGUGCAGGAGAGGUAAGUGGAAUUCCCGGUGUAGCGGUGAAAUGCGUAGAGAUCGGGAGGAACACCAGUGGCGAAGGCGACUUACUGGACUGUAACUGACGCUGAGGCGCGAAAGUGUGGGGAGCAAACAGGAUUAGAUACCCUGGUAGUCC